GUGCGUAGCAGCAGCUACCAUGCAGUCGAGCGGAUGAUGGAGCUUGCUCCUUGAUUCAACGGCGGACGGGUGAGUAAUGCCUAUGAAUCUGCCUGGUAGUGGGGGACAACGUUUCGAAGGGAACGCUAAUACCGCAUACGUCCUACCGGAGAAAGUGGGGGAUCUUCCGACCUCCCGCUAUCUAAUGAACCUACGUCGGAUUAACUAGUUGGUGAGGUAAAGGCUCACCCGGCGACCAUCCAUAACUGGUCUGACAGGAUGAUCAAUCACACUGGAACUGAGACACGGUCCAGACUCCUACGGGAGGCAACAGUGGGGAAUAUUGGACAAUGGGCGAAAGCCUGAUCCAGCCAUGCCGCGUGUGUGAAGAAGGUCUUCGGAUUGUAAAGCACUUUAAGUUGGGAGGAAGGGCAGAAGUUAAUACCUUGCUGUUUUGACGUUACCAACAGAAUAACACCGGCUAACUUCGUGCCAGCCGCCGCGGUAAUUCAUACAA
rnacentral:rRNA from 1 species